AGGACGAACGCUGGCGGCGUGCUUAACACAUGCAAGUCGAGCGAACCUUCGGGUUAGCGGCGAACGGGUGAGUAACACGUGGGCAACCUGCCCCGAGCUCUGGGAUAACUCCGGGAAACCGGGGCUAAUACCGGAUAUGACCCGAGAAGACAUCUUCUCGGGUGGAAAGUUUUUCGGCUCGGGAUGGGCCCGCGGCCUAUCAGCUUGUUGGUGGGGUAACGGCCUACCAAGGCGACGACGGGUAGCCGGCCUGAGAGGGCGACCGGCCACACUGGGACUGAGACACGGCCCAGACUCCUACGGGAGGCAGCAGUGGGGAAUAUUGCGCAAUGGGCGAAAGCCUGACGCAGCGACGCCGCGUGAGGGAUGAAGGCCUUCGGGUUGUAAACCUCUUUCAGCAGGGACGAAGCGAAAGUGACGGUACCUGCAGAAGAAGCACCGGACCAACUACGUGCCAGCAGCCGC
rnacentral:rRNA from 1 species